UUGGGAAGCACAAAACAGUUGAGAAAAUUCAACCAGGGAAAGGUCAGUUAAAGGGCGAAAAUCCAAAUGACGCAAACACUGAAAAUCCCCCUGAAGAGCAAAAGUGCAGAAGGAAGUAAAAGAGCCAGAGGCAGGAAAGAGAAGGAGGAGGAGGAAGAUGCUGUGGGGAUCAAGGAAACCCUGGGAGGUGUAAGAGAAGUCAGGAAAGGCAUUGAGGCGAUGGGAACAGCAAGCGCAGGGGCUGAUGUCAUGCUUACAUCACUCUCACCUGACAUAAAGGGAAAGGCACGCUUCUUUGGGAGCAUGGCUCUGGAGAAGCAGAGUGGCAAAAGGAGGCACUUGGGAUGGGCUGAAAGGAAAGGUAGCAGGAAACAACGGGGACAUUUGAGUCCCCGUUGCUGGUGCAGGUGGAUGGCUGUGGAAAAGGGAAGAUGAGAGAUAUAUUAAGCAAGAAGUGUUAUUCUGAGGGUGUGCGAGUGAAGGUGAUGUGAUGACAAAACGAAGAUGGAAAUGUGACAACUCCCUCUGUUGUGUAUUUGGCCAAGAUUUGGACCACGAUCGAUAACGUACCUUCUGCACCAUCACACCCAGAAGGAUGCAAGACUGUUAUUUCUGCCUGGCACAGUCAUCACGUAGAGGUUAUUUACACCAGUCCUGAGGCCAAGUGGACCUCUAAUGCUCUGAUUUAGCUUUGUGUCCUGAGGGCAGUGAGGCUCCUGCGGUUGCUCUGCUGUCCGUCAGUCCAUCUGCUCAUCUCUCAGUUGCCACGGGCCGCGUUCAGCUGGGCUUGACAAAUGAAGCAGAGUCUGAAAGGUAAAUAAGCUCCAACAACUUGUACGAGAGAGAACCAGCAGCCAGACAGAGAUGCUGCUGGUGAAUGUGCUGGAGGAGACCCCAUGGCCAUGCUGCUGGGCAAAACCCUGCUGGUCAGAGCAGUCUGGCCAGCAGGCUGAAAUAAAUUAAGCAGAAAAUACUGAGGAAGCUGUGUGUGCUGGAGAGUGGUGGAGGAGGAGCCCAAGGCAUCGGCUACAGGCGAGGGGCUGUGGUGCAUUGCAGAAAGGGUGUCAUCAAGGUACCUUGGCUGAUGGCAUGGCAAGUAUAGAACACACAGGCAACAAAUCCGUAGGGACGCCAGGUUCCUCAGUCCUGUUGCUCAAAAAACAACUUGUUAAUAAGUUCUGGAAUUUCACAGAUGUCCCAGAAGACGGGAGAAGAGCGGUGCUGUGCUGGUAUUUGUAAAGAGCAAACAGAAGACCUGAAAAUUUCUAGGCAAAGCAAGAGAAGAGCUGAUAUGAGAUUCUCCAGCUAACGCCAAUCAGCCUGAUUUGGAGGAGACUGAUCUUGCUGCACAAACUUGUUUUGUUCUUGUCAGUCUUUGAUGUGACUUCAGGUUUAUUUGGAAUAGGUGAUGGCUUAGAUCUAUUUAGGCUUCUGGAAGCAUUAAUAUCCUAAAACAAUCUGGUGGGAAAAAAACAGCAUUACACAAUAUUAACAGAGCAGGAGAUUAAGUGGACCAGUUAACUGUGUUGAACCAAAUGCAAAAGGGCCGUCCCUGGAAGCCCUCCACUGAGUGACAGUUUCUGAUGUGGAUGUCCAGGUAUGAGUGCUGGGUCCAGUGUAAGUCACCAUUUAAUUCAGCGUUUGGUGAGCAGAUAUGUUUUAUUCUGACAGUUUGCUGAACACACAAAUACUGUUAGUAUUAAGAAUAACAAGGGUAGGGCCAGUGCAGAAUGACCUGUCGCACUGGUAAGGUGGUCGCUCCCGUAAAACUUCUUGUAAGACAGAUGAGAGCAAAUUGUACAGCUAUGAAAAGAUGUCCACGAAGUAGGUAAGACCAUGUCUACAGUGAACAAUUUUCAGUACUGAGAAAAAAAAAAAGUGAUCUUAAAAGGAAAUCGGACAGAAAACAAACAAACAAACAGCACAAUCCCCGUGGACAAUGCUGCAGAAGUGCCUGGCUGUGCAAAGACAAGAGUUCAAGAGUUAGGAGGAGAAGGGAGAUGAUCAGGCCUCUCUGUGACCUGGGUGAGCCUAAUGCUGAAGUCCAUGCUUUAAAAAUAGCUUUGAAUCAAAGAUGACCUGAAGGCUGGAGAUCUCAGUAAUUUAAAGAGGUCGACCUGUUUAACUUAUCAAAAAGCAGAAAGAGACAUGACCUGACUACAGCAUGACUUCCUUCCUGGGGGAAAGCAUACCAGGUAUUCUGGCAGAGAAUAAAGGAGAGCCGGUCACUGGACAAUGCCUAAGCGCGGACACAAGCCGCCAUGUGACGCGAAAGGUCCUCUCUCUUCUGGAGAAUCAUGACUGGAGGCUGUCUGAAAAAAAGAGUUCCUGAUCUGCAAAUUCCUCAGGGCUGCGAGAGUGCAUGGGAAUAAGAGUUACUGUGCAGCCGCUCUCCUCUUGAACUCCUUUGUAAGCAAUAGGUGUUAGGCUGCCCUAGAUGUAACUAGGCACAGGUCUUACCACGCAGUGUGUUAACCUAGUACAAGUGACAGGGUUAAAAACCUCCCUGAUCAUGUUGCCUGCCAAAGAGAUUUGCCCCAUCCUCCCUCGUCCUUACAAGCUUUUUGCCUAGGAGUCUGUAGCACCUGCACAGAGUUGUGAAAAAUCAUUUCAGAAGAUGUGACCCAGGCUAUGUUUGGAGAAGGGCUAGAGAAAAAAUAUUGUCAGCAUUUUGACAAGUCAUUUUGAUUUUGCAGUGGUAAAGAGAGAAGCAACCUAGAACAAUACAGUAUGGCUCUGUGGGCUUUAAAGUGGGCCAGGGGUGCGUGGGAAAGAAGGUGGAUCUACAGCAGGAAAAGAGUGGUGCUUUCAUUCUGGAAAGAGGGGGGUGAUGUGAGAGGUAGCUGCAGAGAGGACUACAAGCCUCCAGCACUCAGAAAUAAUAACCCACAACGUCCCGAUAUCAUGAGAUUCAUCUUCAACUUUUGAAAUGCUGUAAAGGCUUGCGUUCAUCCGCACUCUUUGCCUCCUACCUUUGACUCUUAAUGUUUGACCCAGGUUACGCAAAGAUCUCAUUUCGGUUUCCCUGUAACGUUAAGAUUGGCACUCGAGAAUCCGUAGCGAAAUGAAAUGAAAUCAUGGGACUUAGAGACUCCACAAGUCUGGAAUUUAAUCUCAGCACCUGUUACUCUGAUCUAGGGAUGAGGCAAAGACUUCGCUAAGUUAUGGCUCCAUGCAGGACAAAGGAGAAGAAAAAUGGUGGUGACCCAGCAAAGAGCACACGGGACCUGGGGUCGGUGCGGAGGAGGAAAACGGAGGCAGGUUGGUGCAGCUGGGCUGCUCAGGCUGCCUUGCUUUAUCGGACUAAUAAUGAAAGGCAGCGAGCGUGUCAGAGAGUGUGAGAGAAACAGAUCGAUAGGGAGAUAAAACUGAGAUGGAAGGAGCCGGCGAGGGGGCGGGGGAGAGAGCAAUAAACGCCACAGAGCAGCAGGGCUACACGUUAACCUGAUCAGAAUGCACCCUGCACUGGUGGCGGUGGACGCAUCAGGUGUCAGAGUGUGGCGAAGCGGACCUAAGCACAGGAACGGAGAGCCGAACGUAGGAAGGCGAUAGUUGUACCUUGCGUUGACGCUGCCCUGUAGUCCACCUGCACAGCCCCUGCUUGACCUUGUCAGCCCUUCUCCUCCUUCGAUCCCGCCGUAAGGAGAACCGCAGGCCUCGCUAUCUCUGAGAACCAUCACGGCCCUUCCCCACAUCCCGGCCACAGCGCUCGUGGCAGUACUGCGAGCGGUGAGCGACUUCCACGCCAUCCAAGUGGCGGGGCCGCCACCAUUCUAAGUCACACUUCCACCUCGGCCUCUCAGCACCGCUCCCCUCCUGCCGGCGGCCUCGGCGUGGAGACCAAGCUCUGACCCGGCCCCGAGCUCCGAGGAGCCCAACGGCGCGAAGCCGGGACGGGAACCCCCGGCCAGGACCGGGAGCUGCCCGCGGGACCUCCC
ensembl:lncRNA